GGUUCUAAAUCAGAACUGCGCUGAUUGGUCAGAACUUCAGCACCCGCCCCUUUUUUUUAUCUCCACUGAAGGUUCCUCCAGAAGGUCCAGCAGAAAAAGAUGCUGCCCAGUGGCUCAUUUAGUCCUUUUAAAGGCAGCUGCAGUCCUGCAUACUGACAUGAGGAAAAAAAGAGAAAAAAGACGAGGCCCCAGGCUCCACAUCAUUCCUCAUAUUUCUUCAAUUAGUCAUGCGUGAAGAUAAGAGAUUCCAAACGCGAGAUUGAGGGCAGAAGCAGGAGAAAUGUUUAUUUUAGCUUUCGAUGACUAGACCAUUUUUCUUUGAAAACUCACAUGAAAUUAAGGGCGGCGUGUUGGCUCCCGUUUCACGCCGUCCAGGUUAUGAUUCACGCCGAUGUCAUCACAUUUCCACUGCGGAACCAUCCAGACAAAGUAAACAGCCUGUUGCUAGA